UAGGGAAUCUUCCGCAAUGGACGCAAGUCUGACGGAGCAACGCCGCGUGAGUGAAGAAGGAUUUCGGUUCGUAAAACUCUGUUGUUAGAGAAGAACAGCGCAUAGAGUAACUGUUAUGCGUGUGACGGUAUCUAACCAGAAAGCCACGGCUAACUACGUGCCAGCAGCCGCGGUAAUACGUAGGUGGCAAGCGUUGUCCGGAUUUAUUGGGCGUAAAGCGAGCGCAGGCGGUCAAUUAAGUCUGAUGUGAAAGCCCCCGGCUCAACCGGGGAGGGUCAUUGGAAACUGGUUGACUUGAGUGCAGAAGAGGAGAGGGGAAUUCCAUGUGUAGCGGUGAAAUGCGUAGAUAUAUGGAGGAACACCGGUGGCGAAAGCGGCUCUCUGGUCUGUAACUGACGCUGAGGCUCGAAAGCGUGGGGAGCGAACAGG
rnacentral:rRNA from 1 species